rnacentral:rRNA from 1 species
GACGAACGCUGGCGGCGUGCUUAACACAUGCAAGUCGAACGGAAAGGCCCUGCUUUUGUGGGGUGCUCGAGUGGCGAACGGGUGAGUAACACGUGAGUAACCUGCCCUUGACUUUGGGAUAACUUCAGGAAACUGGGGCUAAUACCGGAUAGGAGCUCCUGCUGCAUGGUGGGGGUUGGAAAGUUUCGGCGGUUGGGGAUGGACUCGCGGCUUAUCAGCUUGUUGGUGGGGUAGUGGCUUACCAAGGCUUUGACGGGUAGCCGGCCUGAGAGGGUGACCGGCCACAUUGGGACUGAGAUACGGCCCAGACUCCUACGGGAGGCAGCAGUGGGGAAUAUUGCACAAUGGGCGGAAGCCUGAUGCAGCAACGCCGCGUGCGGGAUGACGGCCUUCGGGUUGUAAACCGCUUUCGCCUGUGACGAAGCGUGAGUGACGGUAAUGGGUAAAGAAGCACCGGCUAACUACGUGCCAGCAGCCGCGGUGAUACGUAGGGUGCGAGCGUUGUCCGGAUUUAUUGGGCGUAAAGGGCUCAUAGGUGGUUGAUCGCGUCGGAAGUGUAAUCUUGGGGCUUAACCCUGAGCGUGCUUUCGAUACGGGUUGACUUGAGGAAGGUAGGGGAGAAUGGAAUUCCUGGUGGAGCGGUGGAAUGCGCAGAUAUCAGGAGGAACACCAGUGGCGAAGGCGGUUCUCUGGGCCUUUCCUGACGCUGAGGAGCGAAAGCGUGGGGAGCGAACAGGCUUAGAUACCCUGGUAGUCCACGCUGUAAACGGUGGGUACUAGGUGUGGGGUCCAUUCCACGGGUUCCGUGCCGUAGCUAACGCUUUAAGUACCCCGCCUGGGGAGUACGGCCGCAAGGCUAAAACUCAAAGGAAUUGACGGGGCCCCGCACAAGCGGCGGAGCAUGCGGAUUAAUUCGAUGCAACGCGUAGAGCCUUACCUGGGUUUGACAUGGAUCGGGAGUGCUCAGAGAUGGGUGUGCCUCUUUUGGGGUCGGUUCACAGGUGGUGCAUGGCUGUCGUCAGCUCGUGUCGUGAGAUGUUGGGUUAAGUCCCGCAACGAGCGCAACCCUUGUUCACUGUUGCCAGCACGUUAUGGUGGGGACUCAGUGGAGACCGCCGGGGUCAACUCGGAGGAAGGUGGGGAUGACGUCAAGUCAUCAUGCCCCUUAUGUCCAGGGCUUCACGCAUGCUACAAUGGCUGGUACAGAGAGUGGCGAGCCUGUGAGGGUGAGCGAAUCUCGGAAAGCCGGUCUCAGUUCGGAUUGGGGUCUGCAACUCGACCUCAUGAAGUCGGAGUCGCUAGUAAUCGCAGAUCAGCAACGCUGCGGUGAAUACGUUCCCGGG